UGAUGGCGGGGGCAUCCUGUGUUCAGGGAUCUAGAGAGAAGUGUUGUUUUCAACCACUGGGAUGCAAUUUGAGGAGGGACAGUGUCUCACUAGAGGUGAAACCAGCAGGCAGGGGCAGCGUGAAGUCCUGUGGCUCAGCCUCUCAGACCUGCCAGGACCCUGCCUCGUUCUCAUCUGUCGCCCAAGGGCCUGGCCCCGCUCCUCAUGCCCAUGCCUUGAGGCUGUGCCAAGAUGCCUGCCUAGACCUCAGUGAAUCACCUCCCACUGGACAGGGCAGAUGCUGCUCUUUGCCUGCCCGGCAGCCUGCCACUCUGUGCCCUGCUGCUGGUCCACCUGCCCUGCCCCAGGGGGUUCCCGGUCUUCUGGCUUCUGCAGAAAGCAGCACUAAUUUCUGGCUAAUAAAAUGGUUCCCCGGAAUCUGGCCUGUUUCCACUCCUUCUACUUCCCAAUGAGAUCUAGACUCCCCUUUUCUUUCCUCAUCUGAUUUGCAAGUGGGGGCCCUGGGGGCACCAUGCUUGCACGUUCAUACCUAACAGAUCUAGGGGACGGGGCAUAAGGUGUCCUUGCAAUUCUGAGCUGUUCAGAAGCCCUGCUUCAGGGGCAGCUGCAGGGAGAGUGUCUCUCAGGAUGUGUGAUGAGGUGUUGGCUAUCAGCUCAGGUUCGGCUGGAGGCCAUUUCCCCAUUUCAGAUGUUAGAUUGGGACUCUGUCGCUAUCCAAUUGGUUGUAUUUUUGGAAGGUCUAUAAGGAAGAUACCAAUAUGAGGAGUUAAGACCCCUGGACUUCUGGCUUAGAUAGCUAAGAUUUCAGAAAGUGAGUGAAUUGGAACCCUUAGACAUUGCUGGUGGGACUGUAAAAUUUAGUGUAGUUGCUGAGGAAAGCAUAUUGGCAGUUCCUCAAAAAAUGUUAAACAUUUGAUGAAGCAAUUUCACUCCCAGCUAUAUACCCAAGAGAAGCGAAACCAUAUGUUCACACAAAGACUUGUACACAAAUUUCAUAGCAGCCAAAUAUUCGUAAUUGCUAAAAAGUGGUAGCGACCUAACGUCCAUUGACUGAUGAAUGGAUAAACAAAUCAGAUCGUCGUACAAAAGGAUAUCAUUCAGCCAUAAAGCUAGAAGGAGGUGCUAAUGCACACUUUAAGAUGGAUGUCCAGCAAAGCACCACGCAAAGUGAAUGAAGUCAGACACAAAAGACCACAUAUUAUGUUACUUCAUUUCUAUGAAAUGGUCAGAACAGGUAAAUCUACAGACGGUAAGUAGGCUAGCGGCCGCCAAGGGUUGGGACAGGAUGAAUGGGGAGUGACGACAUAAUGGGUAGGGGUUUCCUUGGGGGUAAUGGACAUAUCUUGGAAGUGGACGGUGGUGAUGGUUACACAACAUUGCGAAUGUCAUGAAAGUCACUAAAUUAUAUACUUUAAAAAUGGUUAAAUGAUUCUGAAGUUGGAUGGGCCUGAAUCCACUUUAGAAUGCUCCUGCAGAAUAGGACAAAAUGCAAGAUCGGCGUCUCUCUAAUCCCAGAAGCAGGCAACGAUUUCUCUCCUGUGACACCAUGGGGACAAGCCCAGAGAGCAGACCUGUGGGCCUGGGGAGGUGGAAGGAUUUCUAUGAAACUUGUCUGCAGAAAAGCCAGACCUGCCAGGACAUUGCUGCAAAAUGACAGCUGCAUUCACAGAAUCCACUCUUCUCAGUUUGCAGAUGGGCCAUAGAAAACCACCAACAACAGGAGACUUUUCAACAAAUAACCGAGGGAUGUUCUGGGAAUUCUACUGCUUCUUUGCUGUGACCUCUGGAGAUUUUCUAAAUUAGAAUCAUUACCUAUAUGGGAAGCCUGCAAUGCAAAUCAAAUGAGAGGCCACGGGCAAGCUAAUGAAGGCCAGUGACCCGGGGAUCUAAUGAAGAUGAACAGCUCUGUUACAGGGAGAGGACGCCACCAUAUCACAUGCCGCUUGGAGCAGGAAAAGAGUUUCAGAUGAUGAGGUCACCAAAGGUCAGAAGAUGAGCCUCCAAAGGAAAUACAGAAGAAUAUACUUUGGAAGGGCUGAGCAAAGUGUGGACAUUGAAACUAAGGAAUGCUAUAGCAAGUGUGCCUAGGAGGUGCCUGGCUAGAACAGUGAAGACGUCAACCAACGCUGCAGCUCUCAGUGAGCCAACAAUAGACUAAGAGUUGGGGGAUCAAUUUUCCCCAUUGAACAAUCAAGAAAAACUUGGAGACCCACAACUGGAAAACAUUUACUUGAAAAUCACUGAUUCAGGAACUUCUGAGACUGGAGCAGCCCACAUGUGUGCUUAUAAAAGGGAGGCAGAGGGAGACUUGACCAAUAAACAGGAGGAUUCAAUGUGAUCAUGGAGGCACCGAAGCUGGAAGAGGCAAAAACAGAUUCUUCCCUAAAGCCGUUGUGGCGCACAGCCAUGCUGAUAUUCUGACUUCAACCCAGGGACACUGAUUUUGGACUUCUGACUCCUGGAACUGUGAGAAAAUGUUUUUCUAUUGUUUUAACCCACCAAAUUUGUGGUAAUUUGUUAUAGUGGCCACAGGAAAUGAAUACAUCCUCCAUUUUUCAGAGUAAAAGCCUGUAAAAUUCAGGGUCCCCGGGUGGUUCAGUUGGUUAAACCCCCAACUUCAGUUCAGGUCAUGAUCUUGCAGUUGGUGAGU